rnacentral:rRNA from 1 species
UACUCCUACGGGAGGCAGAGUGGGGAAUCUCCGCAAUGGGCGAAAGCCUGAUCCAGCAACGCCGCGUGAGUGAAGAAGGCCUUCGGGUUGUAAAGCUCUUCGCGGGGAAGAACUCGUCGGGCUAAUAUGCGGCAGCGAUGACGUACGCAGAGA